UUUCCGUAGGUGAACCUGCGGAAGGAUCAUUAACACGUACCCAAACGUACAAACUCCACCUCUUUGGGCGAACCAAAUUAAAAGACCCCUUGGUUUGGGCAAAGACUGCUGGCUGGCUGGUUGUGAGAAAUCACGGCUACACCAACUUGUAGUGUUGCAAAAAAAAAAAAUUAUUUUUUUUUUUUGCAUGCAACUCAAGCCAUUUUUUAUUUUACAAUAACCCCUCUCAACAUUGGCUAAUAUCAUAUGUGAUUAAACCAUUUCUUUCAGCUUUUUUCUUUCUUUUUUUGGACGUCAAAAAUCCAAACAAAUAAAAAAAAAUUGCCCAAAGAAAGGGAUAUCUCGUAAAAAAAUCUAAAACUUUGAACAACUUUCAACAACGGAUCUCUUGGCUCUC
rnacentral:misc_RNA from 1 species